rnacentral:rRNA from 1 species
AACGCUGGCGGCGUGCUAACACAUGCAAGUCGAGCGAGAAGUCUUCGAAUGAAUCUUCGGACGAUUUUGGAGAUGGAAAGCGGCGGACGGGUGAGUAACGCGUGGGCAACCUGCCCUGUACUGGGGGACAACACCGGGAAACCGGUGCUAAUACCGCAUAACGCACAACUGUGGCAUCGCAGAUGUGUCAAAGGAGAAAUCCGGUACAGGAUGGGCCCGCGUCCAAUUAGCUAGUUGGUGGGGUAAAAGCCUACCAAGGCAACGAUUGGUAGCCGAACUGAGAGGUUGAUCGGCCACAUUGGGACUGAGACACGGCCCAGACUCCUACGGGAGGCAGCAGUGGGGAAUAUUGCGCAAUGGGGGAAACCCUGACGCAGCAACGCCGCGUGAAGGAUGAAGGUUUUCGGAUCGUAAACUUCUUUGAUUGGGGAAGAAGCAAGUGACGGUACCCAAAAAACAAGCCACGGCUAACUACGUGCCAGCAGCCGCGGUAAUACGUAGGUGGCGAGCGUUGUCCGGAAUUACUGGGUGUAAAGGGGCGUGUAGGCCGGGGAUGCCAAGUCAGAAUGUGACAAGCCCAGGGCUCAACCCUGGGACUGCAUCUGAAACUGCAUCUCUUGAGUGCCGGAGAGGAAAGUGGAAUUCCCAGUGUAGCGGUGAAAUGCGUGGAGAUUGGGAGGAACACCAGUGGCGAAGGCGGCUUUCUGGACGGUAACUGACGCUGAGGCGCGAAAGCGUGGGGAGCAAACCGGAUUAGAUACCCUGGUUAGUCCAACGCCCGUUAAACGAUGGAAAUACUAGGGGUGUAGGGGGUAUCGGAACCCGCUUGCUGUGCCGGAAAGUUAACACGAAUAAGUAUCGCGCACCUGCGGAGUACGGAUUCGCAAGAUUGAAACUCAAAGGAAUUGACGGGGGCCCGCACAAGCAGUGGAGUAUGUGGUUUAAUUCGAAGC